rnacentral:sRNA from 1 species
CCUGAAAAAAGGUUGGGAGACCUAUCCUUUUUGCUUGCCAGUUUAAUAUAGAACUCAAAUGUUGCUUCUACAGAAUAGAAUUGAAGGAGUUAUAAAUACUGAUUACUUUUCCUUUUCUUAAUUAGAUUGUUCAGAUUCCAUUCUGUGGGGAAAUUGACUGUGAGGACUGGAUCAAAAAGACCACUGCCAGGGAUCAAGAUCUUGAACCUGGUGCUCCAUCCAUGGGAGCUAAAAGCCUUUGCAUCCCCUUCAAACCACUCUGUGAACUGCAGCCUGGAGCCAAAUGUGUCUGUGGCAAGAACCCUGCCAAGUACUACACCUUAUUUGGUCGCAGCUACUGAGGGAUGAACGAAACCCCCCUCUUCAACUCCUCUCACUUUUUAAAGCAUUGAUAUUAGUAUCUUCUCAGAUACAGACCGUUUUAUGAUUUUUUAAAAAGUAAAAGUUCUAAAAUGAAG